ACCCGCUGAACUUAAGCAUAUCAAUAAGCGGAGGAAAAGAAAACCAACAGGGAUUGCCCUAGUAACGGCGAGUGAAGCGGCAACAGCUCAAAUUUGAAAUCUGGCGUCUUUGGCGUCCGAGUUGUAAUUUGCAGAGGGCGCUUUGGCAUUGGCAGCGGUCCAAGUUCCUUGGAACAGGACGUCACAGAGGGUGAGAAUCCCGUACGUGGUCGCUAGCCUUUACCGUGUAAAGCCCCUUCGACGAGUCGAGUUGUUUGGGAAUGCAGCUCUAAAUGGGAGGUAAAUUUCUUCUAAAGCUAAAUACUGGCCAGAGACCGAUAGCGCACAAGUAGAGUGAUCGAAAGAUGAAAAGCACUUUGGAAAGAGAGUUAAAAAGCACGUGAAAUUGUUGAAAGGGAAGCGCUUGCAGCCAGACUUGCCUGUAGUUGCUCAUCCGGGUUUUUACCCGGUGCACUCUUCUAUAGGCAGGCCAGCAUCAGUUUGGGCGGUUGGAUAAAGGUCUCUGUCAUGUACCUCUCUUCGGGGAGAACUUAUAGGGGAGACGACAUGCAACCAGCCCGGACUGAGGUCCGCGCAUCUGCUAGGAUGCUGGCGUAAUGGCUGU
rnacentral:rRNA from 1 species